rnacentral:rRNA from 1 species
GUGGGGAAUAUUGGACAAUGGGCGAAAGCCUGAUCCAGCCAUGCCGCGUGUGUGAAGAAGGUCUUCGGAUUGUAAAGCACUUUAAGUUGGGAGGAAGGGCAGUAAGUUAAUACCUUGCUGUUUUGACGUUACCGACAGAAUAAGCACCGGCUAACUUCGUGCCAGCAGCCGCGGUAAUACGAAGGGUGCAAGCGUUAAUCGGAAUUACUGGGCGUAAAGCGCGCGUAGGUGGUUUUGUAAGUUGGAGGUGAAAUCCCCGGGCUCAACCUGGGAACUGCCUCCAAAACUGCAUGACUAGAGUACGGUAGAGGGUAGUGGAAUUUCAUGUGUAGCGGUGAAAUGCGUAGAUAUAGGAAGGAACACCAGUGGCGAAGGCGACUACCUGGACUGAUACUGACACUGAGGUGCGAAAGCGUGGGGAGCAAACAGGAUUAGAAACCCUAGUAGUCC